GACGAACGCUGGCGGCGUGCUUAACACAUGCAAGUCGAGCGGUAAGGCCCUUUCGGGGGUACGACGAGCGGCGAACGGGUGAGUAACACGUGGGUGACCUGCCCUCAGCUCUGGGAUAAGCCUGGGAAACCGGGUACUAAUACUGGAUAUGACUCCAUGACGCAUGUUGUGGGGUGGAAAGCCUUGUGCGGCUGAGGAUGGGCCCGCGGCCUAUCAGCUUGUUGGUGGGGUGAGGCCUACCAAGGCGACGACGGGUAGCCGGCCUGAGAGGGCGACCGGCCACACUGGGACUGAGACACGGCCCAG
rnacentral:rRNA from 1 species